GAUGAAGAACGCAGCGAAAUGCGAUACGUAAUGUGAAUUGCAGAAUUCAGUGAAUCAUCGAAUCUUUGAACGCAUAUUGCGCUCUUUGGUAUUCCGAAGAGCAUGCUUGUUUGAGUAUCAGUAAACACCUCAACCUCUUCUUGAUUUUUCAAAAGGAGGGUGGACUUGAGCUAUCCCAACAACCUUUACCGGUCGGCGGGCGGCUUGAAAUGCAGGUGCAGCUGGACUUUUAUCUGAGCUAAAAGCAUAUCUAUUUAGUCCUCGUCAAACAGGAUUAUUACUUUUGCUGCAGCUAACAUAAAGGAUAAUUGUCCUCUUUGCUGACUGAUGCAGGAUUUUACGACACUUUAUGUGUUGUUCAACUCGAUCUCAAAUCAAGUAAGACUACCCGCUGAACUUAAGCAUACAAUAAGCGGAGGA
rnacentral:misc_RNA from 1 species